rnacentral:rRNA from 1 species
UGGGGAAUUUUGGACAAUGGGCGAAAGCCUGAUCCAGCAAUGCCGCGUGUGUGAAGAAGGCCUUCGGGUUGUAAAGCACUUUUGUCCGGAAAGAAAUCCUUGGCUCUAAUACAGUCGGGGGAUGACGGUACCGGAAGAAUAAGCACCGGCUAACUACGUGCCAGCAGCCGCGGUAAUACGUAGGGUGCAAGCGUUAAUCGGAAUUACUGGGCGUAAAGCGUGCGCAGGCGGUUUGCUAAGACCGAUGUGAAAUCCCCGGGCUCAACCUGGGAACUGCAUUGGUGACUGGCAGGCUAGAGUAUGGCAGGAGGGGGGUAGAAUUCCACGUGUAGCAGUGAAAUGCGUAGAGAUGUGGAGGAAUACCGAUGGCGAAGGCAGCCCCCUGGGCCAAUACUGACGCUCAUGCACGAAAGCGUGGGGAGCAAACAGGAUUAGAUACCCUGGUAGUCCACGCCCUAAACGAUGUCAACUAGUUGUUGGGGAUUCAUUUCCUUAGUAACGUAGCUAACGCGUGAAGUUGACCGCCUGGGGAGUACGGUCGCAAGA